rnacentral:rRNA from 1 species
GACGAACGCUGGCGGCGUGCCUAAUACAUGCAAGUCGAGCGGACUUUCAAGAAGCUUGCUUUUUGAAAGUUAGCGGCGGACGGGUGAGUAACACGUGGGCAACCUGCCUGUAAGACGGGGAUAACUCCGGGAAACCGGGGCUAAUACCGGAUAAUAUCUUUCUUCGCAUGAAGGAAGGUUGAAAGGCGGCGCAAGCUGCCGCUUGCAGAUGGGCCCGCGGCGCAUUAGCUAGUUGGUGAGGUAACGGGUCACCAAGGCGACGAGGCGUAGCCGGCCUGAGAGGGUGAUCGGCCACACUGGGACUGAGACACGGCCCAGACGCCUACGGGAGGCAGCAGUAGGGAAUCUUCCGCAAUGGACGAAAGUCUGACGGAGCAACGCCGCGUGAGCGAAGAAGGUCUUCGGAUCGUAAAGCUCUGUUGUCAGGGAAGAACAAGUACCGUUCGAAUAGGGCGGUACCUUGACGGUACCUGACCAGAAAGCCACGGCUAACUACGUGCCAGCCGCCGCCGUAA